rnacentral:lncRNA from 1 species
UGAGAAUGGCGAGCAGUGAACUUGCUGCCUGGGAAAGAACAGAGGCUGAGGCAGUGUCCGGUUCACAGCGUCCGCAGAGGUGGGCAGCAAGGCCAGGGUCAGAUAUAGCAACAAUAGAUUGGCUACUUUCCGCACAUUGACUUUGGGGUGGUUGGGUACAAAACUCGAGCUUUACGAUGCAUAUCAGAUUCUCCCUGGGGACCCUGAUAGCUUUUCUGAGGGAGAGACGGGCAGUUCCAGCUGGCCUUGAGGUGUGCCAUGUGCUGGUUGGCUUCUAAAGAAGGACAGACCACAGUAGGAGGAAACUGUGGGCAAAGAAGUCAACUGGCAGUUCUGAGGUCAAGCUCCAAACUGAAAGCUCAAGGACAAAACUUGGAACUUGUGGUCUUGUGCUAUCUUCCUGAUCCUCUUCAGUGGGGAGCCCGAGCUCUGUGCUUGGAAGAAGUGGCAUUGGGUCAACUUAUUCAAGGAUGGCCAAUAAUUUCAGGAAUCCAUGGGCAGCAAUUCCUGUUUGCUAGGCUUUGUCCUGGGCUCCUGGUGAGAGAGAUAGAGACGACCCUGCCCAGUCUGUGA